rnacentral:misc_RNA from 2 species
UGUAGGAGUGAGCCUGCUCGCGAUAGCGGUAUGUCAGUCUAUGAAGAUGUUGGCUGAUACACCGCUAUCGCGAGCAGGCUCACUCCUACA